CAGGUGCCAGCAGCCGCGGUAAUUCCAGCUCCAAUAGCGUAUAUUAAAGUUGUUGCAGUUAAAAAGCUCGUAGUUGAAUUUCUGGUCGUGGCGAUCGGUCCGUCCCUCACGGGGCGUGCACCUGGUCUCUACGUCCAUCCUCGGGGAGAGCACGCCUGGCAUUUAGUUGUCGGGUGUGGGAUCCUCGUCAUUUACUGUGAGCAAAAUAGAGUGUUCAAAGCAGGCUUAGGCCGUUGAAUACAUUAGCAUGGAAUAAUA
rnacentral:rRNA from 1 species